rnacentral:rRNA from 1 species
AGCAGCCGCGGUAAUUCCAGCUCCAAUAGCGUAUAUUAAAGUUGUUGCAGUUAAAAAGCUCGUAGUUGAAUUUCGGGGUUCCACCGUUGGUCGGGCUAUUGUCUGUACUGGUGUGUGGAAUUUCUACCUUCUGGGGAACUAUCAUGUUAUUAAUUUAGCGUGGUAGGAAACCAGGACCUUUACCUUGAAAAAAUUAGAGUGUUCAAAGCAGGCUUAUGUCUGAAUACAUUAGCAUGGAAUAAUAAAAUAGGACGGUGGUCCUGUUUUGUUGGUUUCUGAAUCACCGUAAUGAUUAAUAGGGAUAGUUGGGGGCAUUAGUAUUCAAUUGUCAGAGGUGAAAUUCUUGGAUUUAUUGAAGACUAACUACUGCGAAAGCAUUUGCCAAGGAUGUUUUCAUUAAUCAAGAACGAAAGUUAGGGGAUCGAAGACGAUCAGAUACCGUCGUAGUCU